rnacentral:rRNA from 1 species
CAAUAGCGUAUAUUAAAGUUGUUGCAGUUAAAAAGCUCGUAGUUGGAUUUCUGAUCGAGACAUCAGGUCGGGUCCGAGAGGAUCAUGUACUUUGAUUUUGUUUUGAUCAUCCUUGGGGAGAGCAUUUCUGGCAUUCAGUUGUCGGGAUUGGGAUCCUCAUCGUUUACUGUGAAAAAAUUAGAGUGUUCAAAGCAGGCCUCGGCCUCUGGAUACAUUAGCAUGGAAUAAUAAGAUAGGACUUUGGUGGUCUAUUUUGUUGGUUUGCACGCCAAAGUAAUGAUUAAUAGGGAUAGUUGGGGGUAUUCGUAUUCAAUUGUCAGAGGUGAAAUUCUUGGAUUUAUGGAAGACGAACUACUGCGAAAGCAUUUACCAAGGAUGUUUUCAUUAA